UGCACAUGUAUAAGUAGUUGGCGCACAUCU
rnacentral:piRNA from 1 species